CCACGUGUCCCACGUCUCCCAGUGGGAGACGUUGGAUGUCCCCCUGGCCAUUUAAUGAAUUUUGGGUCUUCUUCUUCCUCAUAACACCAAACAGAGAGAGCACACCAAACAGAGAGCACGAAAGGGGUUGCGAUUUUAGGGUUUUCAAGGUUGUGAUUUUGGUGGUGAGAUUUUAGAGAGUACUUUGCAUCAAAACUUCUAUAUCUAUCAAUCACACAUUUGAGAUGGUUAGGUCACUAUUAUAGGGGAAAUGCUGCCCGAUUUUAUCUAGGAUAAUAAACAAUUAAUUUUAUAUAGGCAUUCUAUAAGGAAGAAACUUAUUGUAUGUUGUUUGAAUUGUUUGUUUUGUUAUUCACAUGCAGAUGGUUAGGUCACUAUUAUAGGGGAAAUGCUGCCCGAUAUUAUUUAGGAUAAUAAACGAUUAGUUGAGAACGGACAUUACUUGAUUGAACAUGCAAGUCCCAGGCAUUACUUGAGAACGCUAACAAGCACAUCAUAUACAGAGGCACAAAUUGAUGAGUUGCGACAAGAAUGGGCGGCAUAUAUGU